UUCUUUUAAUUCCAUUUUAUUUUAAAAAUUCAUAUCUCUCUCAUUAUUGGUCCAAAAAUUAUGGGUCCAAUUUCAUUCUUCUCCUUUUAAUUUCUACUUUCUAAAAAUGAUUUUUAAUAUUUUUUAUUUUAUCAUUUGCUAUUUUUUACUAAUUUUCUCUUUUCUGGUUAUUUUUAAUUCAUUUUAAAUAAUUUUUGAU
rnacentral:lncRNA from 1 species